rnacentral:rRNA from 1 species
GACGAACGCUGGCGGCGUGCUUAACACAUGCAAGUCGAACGGAAAGGCCCUGCUUUUGUGGGGUGCUCGCGUGGCGAACGGGUGAGUAACACGUGAGUAACCUGCCCUUGACUUUGGGAUAACUUCAGGAAACUGGGGCUAAUACCGGAUAUGAGCUCCUGCUGCAUGGUGGGGGUUGGAAAGUUUCGGCGGUUGGGUAUGGACUCGCGGCUUAUCAGCUUGUUGGUGGGGUAGUGGCUUACCAAGGCUUUGACGGGUAGCCGGCCUGAGAGGGUGACCGGCCACAAUGGGAUUAGGAUACGGCCCAGAGUCCGACGGGAGGCAGCAGUGGGGAAUAGUGCACAAUGGGCGGAAGCCUGAUGCAGAAACGCCGCGUGCGGGAGGACGGCCUUUGGGUUGGAAACAGCUUUAGCGUGUGACGAAGCGUGAGUGACGGUAAUGGGUAAAGAAGCACCGCCUAACUACGG